UUAUGUAAAACAACUAGAACCCAUUUAUUCAAACUAGCACAAAACAAAGCAUAACGUUUGGAGAUAAAGACAAUAGAUAAAUAAAAACUCGAGAAAAAUGAAACGUUUCCAAAACCACAAAGUGAAUCCAGCUAAUUGAUAGAACUCACCCAACCCCUCGUAGGCAUCAGAAAGUUUAGAACACCAGGAGCCCCUUAGAAGAUCCAUCAUCCCUUCCCAUGUAGACUAAAUCAGGGACGAUCACUGCUUUACGCCGAUCAAAGUUAGUUCGACGGAUUGGUCUAUCAUUUUUCCUUCUCCACUUCAUUAGCAAAAAAAAGUCGGCACCUCUCCUACCAGAUAAGUUGUUUCCCUUUUUUUAAUUCCUUCUAUUGCUAGUAAAUGUGUCAGUCCAUUCUUUUCAUUUGCAAUGUGUACGAAAUGGCAUCUUCUAUGACCUUCGCUUAGAGCUUUCAAAUCUUUAAUAAAAGCACUGAUAAUCGACCCAUCUUCAACAUUUGCAUUUAUCUUUUUCACUAUUGCAAGGGCAUCACCUUCAAUUUCCACCUCACUGUGUCUCAGAUCCAGACCCAUUUGAACCACAUGAAGACAUGCAAGCGCCUCCGCAGAGGUAUGUGGUUGAUGAUUAUUCUCGACCCCAAAACAAACCCAUUUGAGUUUCUUCCCAUUAUCCCCGAACAAGAUUUCUUUGUGUGGCUUUGGAAAGUGACGUUGAAAUUGAUCUUGGUUAAGGAUGAUUCCGGUGGUCUUCAUCAUUCUGACUCAACUAUUCUGGAAGGUAAUUUUUCAUUUAUGGAUUUUUAGUUCCCGGAUGGAUGAGUUAAUAAGAUUCACUAUUUCUUGAGUUGACUGUUUUAUCCCUUCAUGCAAGGCCUUAUUUCUUGCCGACCAGAUUGCCCAAAUAGCAUAGGCCACUUGCCUCAUUUGUUCUCUAGAAAUAGUUGAGAAUAGAUAAGUCAUCCACUCCCUAUAUUCUAACAAUGAAACCUCUUGUGACCAUUGUAUUCCUAAUUUUUCCUAUACUCUAUUAACAAUGAUACAUCCUCGGAAAGCAUGCUUAAGGGUUUCAAAAUUAUUUGUGCAUUUAGGACAAACCACAGAAUUGCCAAGUCGCUUGUAAAAUAGGUUAUUGAGAGUGAAAAUGUAAUUAUUAAAGACCUUCCAGUUUGUAAUCUUUAUUUUAUCUAGUAAUUCAGGCUACCAGAGUUUCUUGUGAAAUAGCGUAUAGAUGCUCUGAUUGUUGAUAGGCACAGAGUUAACACCAUCUUGUAUCAAAAUUUUGUAACCACUCAUCAUCGAAUAUUUACCAGUUGCUUCACCUCGCCAAACCAACCUAUCCUCAUAUGGGUGCCGAGAAGGGGAAUGCAUAAAAUACGUUUUGCAUCUUCAUUCAAAAAUAUAUUGGUAAUAUGUUCCUCCCUCUACUGUCUCAAUGUAGGCUCUAUCAAUUCAGACACAAUUGUUAACGAAAGAUUGUUAACAAAUUUACGAAUUUUGUAAUCUACAAAACUGAGGACCCAAUGUAACAUCUCGUUUUCCAAUGGUAUUGAAAAUAGUGGUUUUGAGACCACAACUCUGAUGUGUGAGUCUAUAAAUAUUAAUUAUUUAAUAUUUAUGAGGUUAUUAGUGUCAUGUUAAAAUUUGGUCUAGAAAUUUUGAUGUUUGAUUAGUUAAUUAAAGAAAAAUGACUAAAUUGUAAAAGUUGAAAAUGCUAAUUGCUAUUAUUUUUUAUAGGCCAAAUGGAUGGGAAAACAUUAUUGCUUGGAUUUAAAUGACAAUUUAGCCAUUCUUAUUGUUAGUGACCAAUUUUAGACUUGAUUAAUUUAGUUUUGUGAUUAAAAUUUUAUAUUAAACUAAUGUUAAAAGUUUAAUAAUAAUAAAACAAAAAGGGAAAAGCAUUCAUCUUCUUCAUUCUUUUAUUUUGCAAAUGGAAACACCAAUUUUAAAUCUUGAGAGCUUCAGCCUUGUAUUUUUUUCAUGCAUGUAAGUCCAUUUUCACUCAUUUUAUGUUUUUGAGAUCAUUGUAGCUUAACCCAUCUAGCCCAUGGACUAUUUUGUGAAAUUGUCAGUGUUUUUAAAACAUUUCAUUGAUGUUCUUGAAGCUUUUUAGAUGUUAAUGCUUUAGCUUGAAGUUUGAUGAUGAAUUAGGACUAAUUUAUAAAGUUAUUUUGAAUAGUUUUGAGUUUAGGGACUAAAAUGAUUAAAUAUUAAAAUUUGUUGGGUAUUCUUGUAAAAUUUUAGAAUUUGAUGGUUCUUUAGGGAUGGUUAAGAAUUUGACACUGUAGGUUGGGGAUUAAAUUGUGAAAAUAAGCUUGUUUUGGUUUUAGGGAAUUAAUUGAAUAAAAUGUAAAAGUUUAGGGUAAUUGUGUAAAAUGUCAAUAAGAAGUCAUAUGCAUCAAAUGAAUUGUUAAAAAGUAUUUGGGACUGAUAGUUGAAAUAAAAUUACUGUAUAUAUCAAGAACCAGUAGAUAAUCGUGGAAAAGAGAAAAUUGUUGAUUAGUCCCUAAUAUUGCCAUAUUUGUUGUUUAGCCUUGGUAAGUUCAUACGGUAUUAUUUUGUGUAUUUUUGUAAUAUCAUUAUUGAAAUUUUUUAAUAUGAUGACAUGGGUUAUAAACUAAAAUGUUAUGAUUGAAUUGGUGAGAAAAUGGAUUGAAAUGUAAAUUGUUAUACGGUUACAUGUAUUGAGCCCAAAUAAACAUAGGAUAGGAUACAAUUGGCAUGCCAAUAAAUUAUUUUGUGUACUGAAUGAGAUUGAAUUUUGAUGAGAUGAUGAUUCAUGACUUGUUAUUGUACACUGAAUAUAUCGGAGUCCGACAUUUGUUGCGGAUUAUCGAGUUAUAUUUACAGUGAUUCUAGUGUGUUAUUGGAGGCGAAUGUAAAGCCUACGAGCUUGGCACUUGGUGCCCAAACGUGUUCUUGGUUGGAUUGGCUUGGUUGAGCAUUUUGGCAUGUCCUGGGUGGAUAACUACGUAUCCAUAUCUAUAUUCAUCCGUUCAUCGGUCUGAAUUUCAAUAGUUAAAUGACAUGUUGAUGAUAUAUAUUUGACAUUUGGUUAUGAUGCCUUGUGGAUGACUUGUAUAAAUUUUCAUGAUUUUCGAUAUUAUAUCAUGAGUUGAUAAUGAUUGAUAUCAUACAAAUGAGAUGAUUAAAUGACUCGUAUAUAUGAAACUCACCUAUUGAAUGCUUGUGGUUGACAGGGUUAAUGUUAGUUAAUGAGUUUUUUAGUUAUUAAACUAUGUUUUCAAGGUAAGUUAUAUAGUUUUAAGCUAUGAACUUACUAAGCUCAUUGAAGCUUACUCAUGUCAUUUUUCCUGUUUUCUUGUAGAUAUUAUUUUGUGAAACCGGGUAAUCGGAUCAAGUUGAAGAUCACAUUAUCCAACUAUCUUUCAGUAGACUUUGAAACAUUUAUUUUAAGAUAUGUGGCAUGUAAUAGGAGUAUAUUGUAUUUGUUUAUAAGUAUUCUUUAUAAGUGGCAUAUUUUGUAUUUAUAUAUAUAAGUUGAGUGUUUGUGGUAAAUGAUGUGGUGGAUCAUAGCUUGGUUUAGAGAUUUGAAUGUGAUAUUUGCUUGAUAUGUAUGGAAUAUAUAAAUAUGAUGGAAUGAAAUGCAUAUAGAUGAAUCAAAUGUAAUAGAUAAUGUUUGAAUAGGUAAUACUUUGGUUGGAGUUGUUUUUGAUGCUACGAAUUAGUAUAUAUGUAUGGUUUUAUUUUUGAUAACUAAUAUGUGAUGCAUAUGCCUUGGCAAGGAAUGUUAAUUGGUGAUUGGAUUACAACAUAUUGUCACCUUAUAUGGCCUUAUUUAAUUAAGUUUGAAUUUGGUAGAAAUUGUAGUUGAAUGUUAGACUUGAAUGUUGUUUGUGAUGGUGCCUUAUGGCAUAUUGGUUAGAAUUAGGUAAAUGGCAUGUUUUGAUAUGUUUUUUGUGUGAUUUGAACAGGUUGAAUGAUUGAUUAAUGGCAUACUUGUGGUCUAAGUAAGCAUGAUAUGGUAUGACUUGUAUUGGAGGGUAAAUUUAGGUUCACACAAGUUGAAACACGGCUUGACACAUGAUUGUGUGCCAUACACGGGUAUAUGGCAUGACUGUGUGGUCUAUGUGAUUUAGUUAUCAAUUAGCACACACAACCAUAGUUUGUUACAUGGUCAAAAGACACGACCAUGUGACUUCACCUACAUGGUUUUGGUCCUUGCACACGGUUGAUCAACACGACCAUGUCUAAUAGUGCCACACGGCCUAAACCUGUUAUACGGUCUGGCCACAUGAUCUUGUGACCCCUGUUUUCUAUUUUUA
rnacentral:lncRNA from 1 species